rnacentral:rRNA from 1 species
UACGUAGGGGGCGAGCGUUGUCCGGAUUUAUUGGGCGUAAAGAGCUCGUAGGCGGCUCGGUAAGUCGGAUGUGAAACCUCCAGGCUCAACCUGGAGACGCCAUCUGAUACUGCCGUGGCUUGAGUCCGGUAGAGGAGCAGGGAAUUCCUGGUGUAGCGGUGAAAUGCGCAGAUAUCAGGAGGAACACCAGCGGCGAAGGCGCUGCUCUGGGCCGGUACUGACGCUGAGGAGCGAAAGCGUGGGGAGCGACCAGG